rnacentral:rRNA from 1 species
CACAUGUGACGAGUUUGAUCCUGGCUCGGAACGAACGCUGGCGGCAUGCCUAACACAUGCAAGUCGAACGAAGCCUUCGGGCUUAGUGGCGCACGGGUGCGUAACGCGUGGGAACUUACCAUCAGGUUCGGAAUAACAGUUAGAAAUGACUGCUAAUACCGGAUAAUGUCUUCGGACCAAAGAUUUAUCGCCUUUUGAUGGGCCCGCGUAAGAUUAGGUAGUUGGUGGGGUAAAGGCCUACCAAGCCGACGAUCUUUAGCUGGUCUGAGAGGAUGAUCAGCCACACUGGGACUGAGACACGGCCCAGACUCCUACGGGAGGCAGCAGUGGGGAAUAUUGGACAAUGGGCGAAAGCCUGAUCCAGCAAUGCCGCGUGAGUGAUGAAGGCCUUAGGGUUGUAAAGCUCUUUUACUGGGGAUGAUAAUGACAGUACCCAGAGAAUAAGCUCCGGCUAACUCCGUG